GCGGGGGUAGCCAAGCCCGACCAACGGCGCGGGACUUAAGAUCCCGUCCCUUAGGGGUUCGCAGGUUCGAAUCCUGCCCCCCGCA
rnacentral:tRNA from 1 species